rnacentral:rRNA from 1 species
AUGAACGCUGGCGGCGUGCCUAAUACAUGCAAGUCGAGCGAACGGACGAGAAGCUUGCUUUUCUGAUGUUAGCGGCGGACGGGUGAGUAACACGUGGAUAACCUACCUAUAAGACUGGGAUAACUUCGGGAAACCGGAGCUAAUACCGGAUAAUAUUUUGAACCGCAUGGUUCAAAAGUGAAAGACGGUCUUGCUGUCACUUAUAGAUGGAUCCGCGCUGCAUUAGCUAGUUGGUAAGGUAACGGCUUACCAAGGCAACGAUGCAUAGCCGACCUGAGAGGGUGAUCGGCCACACUGGAACUGAGACACGGUCCAGACUCCUACGGGAGGCAGCAGUAGGGAAUCUUCCGCAAUGGGCGAAAGCCUGACGGAGCAACGCCGCGUGAGUGAUGAAGGUCUUCGGAUCGUAAAACUCUGUUAUUAGGGAAGAACAUAUGUGUAAGUAACUGUGCACAUCUUGACGGUACCUAAGCAGAAAGCCACGGCUAACUACGU